GACGAACGCUGGCGGCGUGCUUAACACAUGCAAGUCGAACGGAAAGGCCCUGCUUUUGUGGGGUGCUCGAGUGGCGAACGGGUGAGUAACACGUGAGUAACCUGCCCUUGACUUUGGGAUAACUUCAGGAAACUGGGGCUAAUACCGGAUAGGAGCUCCUGCUGCAUGGUGGGGGUUGGAAAGUUUCGGCGGUUGGGGAUGGACUCGCGGCUUAUCAGCUUGUUGGUGGGGUAGUGGCUUACCAAGGCUUUGACGGGUAGCCGGCCUGAGAGGGUGACCGGCCACAUUGGGACUGAGAUACGGCCCAGACUCCUACGGGAGGCAGCAGUGGGGAAUAUUGCACAAUGGGAGGAAGCCUGAUGCAGCAACGCCGCGUGCGGGAUGACGGCCUUCGGGGUGUAAACCGCUUUCGCCUGUGGCGAAGCGUGAGUGACGGUAAUGGGUAAAGAAGCACCGGCUAACUACGUG
rnacentral:rRNA from 1 species